UUGAAAGGGAAACGAUUGAAGUCAGUCAUACCAACGGGAAAUCAACCUUUUGAGCUUGGUCUCGUGGGUUUUGAAGAGUUUCAAAGCCUUCGGAUUCGCGAGAUUGGGAUCUCUCGGUGUACUUUCUCGUACGGUUAGUCAACAUCGGUUUUGAAUGUCAUAAAAUGACUGGAGGAAUGUAGCUUCGAUCUCGUAUUGAAGUGUUAUAGCCUUUGGUAGAUGUGAUGUUUGAGACCGAGGAUUGCAACGGAUACCCUUCAGGGCUAUUCGUCUGAUCUCUGAUACGUUGCCUUGAUGUUGAAAGCUUGCUUAUGAUGUUAGGGUAUUACGGUCAACAGGUUAGAACGUGAUUACAUUCGUUAAGGAUGUUGACGUA
rnacentral:rRNA from 1 species